rnacentral:rRNA from 1 species
GGUUGAUCCUGCCAGUAGUCAUAUGCUUGUCUCAAAGAUUAAGCCAUGCAUGUCCAAGUAUAAAGAUUUUAUAUCUUGAAACUGCGAACGGCUCAUUAAAUCAGUUAUAAUCUACUUGAUUGUAAAAUCUACAUGGAUAACUGUAGUAAUUCUAGAGCUAAUACAUGCAAAAAGUCCCAACUGUUAUGGAAGGGAUGUAUUUAUUAGGUACAAAAUCAAUGCUGGCACUUGUGUCAGGUUUUAAUUGAUGAUUCAUAAUAACUAAACGAAGCGCACGACUUUAUGUUGGCG